rnacentral:rRNA from 1 species
AAGCAUAUUAAUAAGCGGAGGAAAAGAAACUAACCAGGAUUCCCCCAGUAAGGGCGACUGAAGUGGGAAUGGCUCAAGUUGUGAAUCGAUGCUUUGGCACCGAAUUGUGGUCUACCGAUGUUUGCACUAAGGACUGGGUCAAGUCCCUUGGAAUAGGGUGGCAGAGAGGGUGAGACCCCCGUACACCUGGUUCACGGAGCAAAUGUCUAAGAGUCGAGUUGUUUGGGAUUGCAGCUCUAAUUGGGUGGUAAAUUCCAUCUAAAGCUAAAUACUGGUGGGAGACCGAUAGCAAACAAGUACCGUGAGGGAAAGAUGCAAAGAACUUUGAAAAGAGAGUUAAAGAGUACCUGAAAUUGCUGAAAGGGAAGCGAAGGAAACCAGUGUAGGCCGAAUCAUAAUUUCCUGCUUGCUUGCAUACGGGACGCUAUGGUUYGACCGAGUCACGUUUGGUUGUAGCRGGUGCAAAAUGCUCGAGGGAGUUGACCUAGUUCCAUUGCACCUGUCAUGACUGAAGAGAGGCGAAAUGGCUUUCUUCUCCCCGUCUUG